rnacentral:misc_RNA from 1 species
CGCACCUUGCGCUCCCUGGUAUUCCGGGGAGCACGCCUGUUUGAGUGUCAUGGUAUUCUCAACCUUCAACACUUUUUGUAUUGAAGGCUUGGACUUGGAGGCUUGUGCCGGCUCUCGUUAGUCGGCUCCUCUGAAAUGCAUUAGCGUGAAUGUUAUGGAUCGCUUCGGUGUGAUAAUUAUCUGCGCCGUGGUCGUGAAGUAUUUGAAGUUUGCGCUUCUAAUCGUCCUUCACUGGACAAUUACCCUUUGACAUUUGACCUCAAAUCAGGCGGGACUACCCGCUGAACUUAA